rnacentral:rRNA from 1 species
AUUGAACGCUGGCGGCAUGCCUUACACAUGCAAGUCGAACGGUAACAGGUCUUCGGAUGCUGACGAGUGGCGAACGGGUGAGUAAUACAUCGGAACGUGCCCGAUCGUGGGGGAUAACGGAGCGAAAGCUUUGCUAAUACCGCAUACGAUCUACGGAUGAAAGCAGGGGACCGCAAGGCCUUGCGCGGACGGAGCGGCCGAUGGCGGAUUAGGUAGUUGGUGGGGUAAAAGGUUACCCAGCCGACGAUCUGUAGCUGGUCUGAGAGGACGACCAGCCACACUGGGACUGAGACACGGCCCAGACUCCUACGGGAGGCAGCAGUGGGGAAUUUUGGACAAUGGGGGAAAGCCUGAUCCAGCCAUGCCGCGUGCAGGAUGAAGGCCUUCGGGUUGUAAACUGCUUUUGUACGGAACGAAAAGACUCGGUCUAAUAAAGAGGGUCCAUGACGGUACCGUAAGAAUAAGCACCGGCUAACUACGUG